rnacentral:rRNA from 1 species
CACGUAGGGGGCAAGCGUUGUCCGGAUUCAUUGGGCGUAAAGAGCUCGUAGGCGGUUCGAUAAGUCGGGUGUGAAACCUCCAGGCUCAACCUGGAGACGCCACCCGAUACUGUCGUGACUAGAGUCCAGUAGGGGAGCGUGGAAUUCCUGGUGUAGCGGUGAAAUGCGCAGAUAUCAGGAGGAACACCGGUGGCGAAGGCGGGUCUCUGGGCAGUAACUGACGCUGAGGAGCGAAAGCAUGGGGAGCGAACAGG